CGUAGCGCAGUCCGGUUUAGCGCGCAUGGUUUGGGACCAUGAGGUCCUCGGUUCAAAUCCGAGCG
rnacentral:tRNA from 2 species